CCUACGGGAUGCACCAGUGAGGAAUAUUGGUCAAUGGACGAGAGUCUGAACCAGCCAAGUAGCGUGAAGGAUGACUGCCCUAUGGGUUGUAAACUUCUUUUAUAUGGGAAUAAAACAGGGUAUGCAUACCCUCUUGUAUGUACCAUAUGAAUAAGGAUCGGCUAACUCCGUGCCAGCAGCCGCGGUAAUACGGAGGAUCCGAGCGUUAUCCGGAUUUAUUGGGUUUAAAGGGAGCGUAGGUGGAUUGUUAAGUCAGUUGUGAAAGUUUGCGGCUCAACCGUAAAAUUGCAGUUGAAACUGGCAGUCGUGAGUACAGUAGAGGUGGGCGGAAUUCGUGGUGUAGCGGUGAAAUGCUUAGAUAUCACGAAGAACGCCGAUUGCGAAGGCAGCUCACUGGACUGCAACUGACACUGAUGCUCGAAAGUGUGGGUAUCAAACAGGAUUAGAUACCCUUGUAGUC
rnacentral:rRNA from 1 species